rnacentral:misc_RNA from 1 species
CUUCGGCAUCGGCCUCGCUCUCGCCGGUGAUCCUGGUGCACGCCUCGUUGCGCCUGCGCAACCUUAAGAACAAGAUUGAGAACAAGAUCGAGAGCAUUGGUCUCAAGCGGACGCCAAUGGGCCUGCUACUAGAGGCACUGGGACAAGAGCAGGAGGCUGGAUCCUAGGCCCCUGGGAUCUGUACCCAGGACCUGGAGAAUACCACCCCACCCCCAGCCCAUAAUUGGGACCCAGAGCCCUUUCCCAGCACUUAAAACAGGAGCCUAGAGCCCCCUGCCCAAACAAAACAGGACAUCUGUGACCGCCCUACCCCCACGCCAGCCCCAAACUAAGAUAUCCCUCACACCCAGCCCCCAUUACCUAGGGACAAGAGUCUUCCCCAGCCUUGAACCCAGGACCAAGAGCCACCUACAUCCAGCCCCAAAACUGGCUUCAGGCC